ensembl:lncRNA
AUGGCUGGCGGUGGAAAAAAUAAGGAGGCACGGAAGCAGAUGACAUCUAUACCCAGCACUUGCACUGUGACCACUACAAGGCAUCACAGUGGUGGAAUCACCGCACUCCAGCUCCUCUCUGACGUCUUAGAUCUAACAUCACAGGUUAGUAAUGGCUUAUACUAUCUUAGGUUUUGUCCUUCCUUCCUUUCUCUCUCUCUCUCUUUCUCUCUCUCUCUCUCUCUCUCUCUCCUUAUUUAUUUAUCAAUUACUUAGCACCUCUUAUGUGCCUAGUGACCUAGGCAUUUUCAUGUGGAAGAAAUCUACUUUCAGCUACUCCAGCUUCCUGGUUGAGAGUAGUAAGGGAAUAAGACAAGGGAUAGGAAGAGGAGUAAGAAGGAGAUAGUAAGUGUCAAUCAUCAGAAGGCAUUCCCUUCAGUAAGCUGAACAGUCAUGAUGUCCAGGCAUAAUGUAGCUGGAAGUCAUGAUUCAGGGUUCUCAAAAGGUGAAACAGGUGGAAGAGAGAGGAGUGGUGGGAAGCAGCAUUUAUAGAAGCCUAUUAGAACCAAGUGCUAUGCCAGUUAUUUCACUUGAUUGUUAUCUUCAUUUAAUUCCCUUAUGUUACAAGUUGGUAAGUUUCCAAAAGUAAAGUUUCACAGAACAAAAAGUGAUUUUUUUUGCUUGUUUUUUUUGUUUUGUUUCAUUUUUGUUGCAAGCAUCCAAACUGAAGAGCAGCUCAGCCUGGCAUUUUGGCCACUUUGCAGUUCUUCACUGACCCUUCUUGAGCUCCAUCCAGCAACUAAGAAUUAUUCUCUUAUGAGCUUAAAAAAACAUGAAAGUUCCAGUCUGAGCAAUGGAGCCAGAUGUCUCUGAAAAAAAAAAAUACAUAUAUAUGUAUGUAUGUAUGUAUGUAUGUGUGUGUGCAUGUGUGUGUGUAUAUAUAUGUGUGUGUGUGUAUAUAUAAAAUAGUUGUAUCUUUAUGUAGUUAAAUAGGAGACACAGCUUGAUUUAUGGGCUAUUAUUCUGUUCUUACUGGGAUUUUAUCCAUAAGGGGUUCACAAGUCUAAGAAGCCACUGGUAUAACAAAGUAUAACCAUAUACAGUUCCUGGGGGGGAAUGAAAGCUAUUACUGAUUUUACUGCUUCUUCAACAUUAAGAGACCCUAUCAGACCUCAGUAGGGUCACUAUCAGCUCUAACUUUGUUUCUAUCCAAAUAGACAUAAUUGAAGGUUAAAAUGUUAAUUUUACAAAUAUAAGACUACUUACUUUCUACAAUGAGAAUUAAUAUCUAAUUUAGUUUUUGAUUAAUCACUGUGUAGAACAUAAUUCAAGAAAGAUUUGAUAUUUGAAAAUUUCAAGAUAUUAUUUAAAUGGCUGUAGUUUCACAAAUCCAUUCUUAAAACAUCUGGUAUACUCAAGAUAGCACUAAUUUUUUUUUUAAUUUUAGAAAAUCAAAUUCUGAACACAAUUUAUUUACAUUAGCUAUCCUAUUGACUCAGCAGUUUUCUAUUAAUUAAGAGUCUUUUGACACUCUUGGUUUUCUUUGAGUAUAAUAUACUUUAAAAUAAUAUUUCUUGGGUGUCUGCUGUGUCCUAUGAGUCCAUUCAUUGUACAAAAAUGUGAAGAAGAAAAAUUCCCCCCAGUGGAGCUCAUUGCAAGCCCCUCGUGACUGUUUUUACUGCUAGCACUUAAGACUGAGUAAGCUCACUUUUGUCAUUGCUGUUCAAUCAAACACCUUGUUUAAUAAAUUAGGUAUUUAAAAAACCAAUUAUUGAACAACGGAUAUGGGCCAGGUACUAUGAAGACUCUUGGGAUUAAAUAUGAGUGAGAUAAAUACAGUUCCUGCCUUUACAGACUAUACAGUUUAGUAGACUCAACAUUCACCUCUAAUUUAAUAUUCUGAAGUUCAAGGCAUGUGGACCUAUAUUUCUAGAGCAGUAAUUCAGCAUCUCUCUGCCCAUUGAUCUAAACUGGUGAAAAUGAAAGGCACUAAAAGUAUUCUAUGUGAGCAGCUCUUCAGCCUACAGUGAAAUUGAGAAUUGGUAGGCCUCUGGAAUGAAGCAGAAUACAUUCACGCAGCAAAUGUUUAUUGUAUACCAACUCUAUACUAGAUGAUGGGGGUUACAAUUUUGGUAGCAGUAGACAUAUUCUCAGCCCCUCAGAGAGUUUUGCAUUCUAGAAGGAAAGAUGUUCUAAAAAUAACUAAUUAAAAUAUCAUGUAAAAUAGCACAGAUUUCAGUAAUAGGUUUUCCUCUCUUUUCCACCAACAUAGUGCUGUAAGCACAGCAUGACACAAUCACCCAAUGAGAUUUUACACCUGCCAUGGAACCCCACUUAGUGACUGUGGCCUUGGAGAACCUAGUGCUCUAUGGAAACUGUAUCCACAAGUCACUAGGAUUAUACAAAAUGUCUAUGUUCAAUCUGUGUAUUCAACUCCACAGGGAAAGCCUUGGGACCAUUGCUCACAAAUGUUCUAGUCUUGAGAAAAUCUGUAGGUGACACAUGAUGAGUGCAUUUCUUAGUAGGCUGAGCGCACCUGUUCAUAGGUGUUGUGUGUGGACAUCACAAGUCAAGAAGAGAUAGAUCUGAUAUGCCUGGUUGUGUCUCUGGAAUCAUUUUCUGUCAUUUGAUUAUGUGAUUUGACCUUGGUUAUCUUCAACUAAGAAAUGAAGAACUUAGGCCAGAAGAGAGAGAAAAUUCUGAUUCUGCAUUUACUUAUUCACAUCCUUUUCAAACUUUGUUUGGAGGGGUGGCUGAAGACAUUGUUUGGGACAAAUUCCUAUCUCCAGCCUGGGGUUAUUUUCAUUAUUCAGGGCAAAUAAGUAAUACAGCGUCUCACCUCAUAUUAAUUGUUUUCUCCAAAUUAGCGUUUGGAGAAAAUACUCACAUGGAAGGCAUCACAGUAGCAGGUACAUUGGGGCUGCUCUACCUCCAGUGUUUGAGAAGAGCCAUUUCCAACUUGUAGGGUUAAUGUGCAGACUAAAAGAGAUCCACACAUAAAGCUCCCUGCAGAGCGUGUCACACAAAGUAUAAAAAAUGUCUUCUUCUUCUUCUUUCAUCAUCCCUCUCUCCCUCUAGCUAUCUUUUAAUAUAUAAGAUGAUUUAUUUCUAAAAAUUUGAUUAUGCAACAAAAUUCUAUAUAU